rnacentral:rRNA from 1 species
AGACUUAGCAGAGAUGCUUUGGUGCCUUCGGGAACUCUGAGACAGGUGCUGCAUGGCUGUCGUCAGCUCGUGUUGUGAAAUUGUUGGGUUAAGUCCCGCAACGAGCGCAACCCUUAUCCUUUUGUUGCCAGCGGUCCGGCCGGGAACUCAAAGGAGACUGCCAGUGAUAAACUGGAGGAAGGUGGGGAUGACGUCAAGUCAUCAUGGCCCUUACGAGUAGGGCUACACACGUGCUACAAUGGCGCAUACAAAGAGAAGCGACCUCGCGAGAGCAAGCGGACCUCAUAAAGUGCGUCGUAGUCCGGAUUGGAGUCUGCAACUCGACUCCAUGAAGUCGGAAUCGCUAGUAAUCGUGGAUCAGAAUGCCACGGUGAAUACGUUCCCGGGCCUUGUACACACCGCCCGUCACACCAUGGGAGUGGGUUGCAAAAGAAGUAGGUAGCUUAACCUUCGGGAGGGCGCUUACCACUUUGUGAUUCAUGACUGGGGUGAAGUCGUAACAAGGUAAGCGUAGUGCU